CGGGAUAUAGCGCAGCAUGGGAGCGCGCACCUCUCGGGCAGGUGAGGCCGCAGGUUCAAAUCCUGCUAUCCCGAC
rnacentral:tRNA from 1 species